CUUAAGCAUAUCAAUAAGCGGAGGAAAAGAAACCAACAGGGAUUGCCCUAGUAACGGCGAGUGAAGCGGCAACAGCUCAAAUUUGAAAUCUGGCCUCGGCCCGAGUUGUAAUUUGCAGAGGAUGUUUCUGGCGCGGUGCCUUCCGAGUUCCCUGGAACGGGACGCCACAGAGGGUGAGAGCCCCGUAUGGUUGGACACCAAGCCUGUGUGAAACUCCUUCGACGAGUCGAGUAGUUUGGGAAUGCUGCUCUAAAUGGGAGGUAAAUCUCUUCUAAAGCUAAAUACCGGCCAGAGACCGAUAGCGCACAAGUAGAGUGAUCGAAAGAUGAAAAGCACCUUGAAAAGGGGGUUAAACAGUACGUGAAAUUGUUGAAAGGGAAGCGCUCAUGACCAGACUUGUGCCGGGCGGUUCAUCCGGGGUUCUCCCCGGUGCACUCCGCCCGGUUCAGGCCAGCAUCGGUUCUCGUUGGGGGAUAAGAACGGUAGGAACGUGGCCCUCCCUCGGGAGGGUGUUAUAGCCUGCCGUACGAUACCCUGACGGGGACCGAGGUUCGCGCUCCGCAAGGAUGCUGGCGUAAUGGUCAUCAGCGACCCGUCUUGAAACACGGACCAAGGAGUCGUCCAUUAGAGCGAGCGUUUGGGUGUAAAACCCGCACGCGUAAUGAAAGUGAAAUUAGGUGAGAGCUUCGGCGCAUCAUCGACCGAUCCUGAUGUUCUCGGAUGGAUUUGAGUAAGAGUUUUAGCGGACGGACCCGAAAGACAGUGAACUAUGCUUGUAUAGGGUGAAGCCAGAGGAAACUCUGGUGGAGGCUCGCAGCGGUUCUGACGUGCAAAUCGAUCGUCAAAUAUGAGCAUGGGGGCGAAAGACUAAUCGAACUGUCUAGUAGCUGGUUACCG
rnacentral:rRNA from 1 species